CCUACGGGUGGCAGCAGUGGGGAAUAUUGGACAAUGGGCGAAAGCCUGAUCCAGCCAUGCCGCGUGUGUGAAGAAGGCCUUCGGGUUGUAAAGCACUUUCAGUGGGGAAGAAAGCCUUGGGGCUAAUACCCUCGAGGAAGGACAUCACCCACAGAAGAAGCACCGGCUAACUCCGUGCCAGCAGCCGCGGUAAUACGGAGGGUGCGAGCGUGAAUCGGAAUUACUGGGCGUAAAGCGCGCGUAGGCGGUCUGAUAAGCCGGUUGUGAAAGCCCCGGGCUCAACCUGGGAACGGCAUCCGGAACUGUCAGGCUAGAGUGCAGGAGAGGAAGGUAGAAUUCCCGGUGUAGCGGUGAAAUGCGUAGAGAUCGGGAGGAAUACCAGUGGCGAAGGCGGCCUUCUGGACUGACACUGACGCUGAGGUGCGAAAGCGUGGGUAGCAAACAGGAUUAGAUACCCGGGUAGUC
rnacentral:rRNA from 1 species